UUGAAGUCUGGUUGUUGCUGGCCUUUUCUACGGCAUUGUGCACGCCUUAUUCAAACCACCUGUGCACCAUUUGUAGACUUUGUUUGUCUAUUGAUAAUUUAUUUUACCCCACGUAUCAGAAUGUAUUGAUGAUUGGCCUCAGUGCCUUUAAAUCAAAUAAUAUA
rnacentral:misc_RNA from 2 species